GAGUUAGAAACCCUGCCUCUGUAUUCCCAUAGCCUGCUUACAGACCUCCACGACAUCACAUGAAAGAUGACGAGCUCCAUGAGGGCCAAGGCUGUCCAUUCUUGUUCACCACUGCACACUCAGGAGCUCAUGGCAUGCUGGCUGUGCUAGUUCUAUCCUCAACAGAAUAAUUGCUGACAAACUCUCUUGCCCAGAAAAUGUCUACUGGAAUUAUGGAGUACAGAAAAACUACAAAAACAAUGAAAAAAAGAAGGAUGUUUUAUUUACAUCCUAUUUCAAAACCAUUGCUUUCUUGCUAUUGUAUGUCUCUGCAGGCCCAAUAUCGUGCAUCUUCAUAAGAAGUUUAGAAUUGUUCCUUAUGUUUCCUUCUAACAAACACUGGUGUUAAGUUUCAAGAAGUUGGUGAAAUGGAGACAGCCAAUCCAACCCAGGAGACAGUGUUUGAAAACAGGGCUUCAGCUACUUGCAUGAUGUGGAUUGGGGAAAUGGUCUGUCCUCCUAGCCAUGGGAUGUCCCUGCUGUGUUCAGGAAUCCUUCCAUCUCUUGGAUUUUAAAGGAAAUUCUUAGAAGAAGGGGACAUUUGGACACAGAGACAUGGGGAGAACGCCAUAUGAAGACGAAGGCAGAGAUUCAUCUACAAACCAAGGAACUACAAAGACUGCCAGCAGCCCCCAGAAGCCAGGCGGCAGACAUGGAACAGAUUCUCCCUCACAGCUGUCAGGAGGAGCCAACCCUGCCUCCAGAAUUGUGAAGCACUAAGUUUCUGUUGUUUAGGCCUUCCAGUCUCUGCUACUUUAUUGCAACAACUCUAGCAAAUUAAUGCACAAAUGGCAGAAUGGUAUUUUUCAACUUUUAUGAGAAAAGUAAAGGCAGUUAUAGUAGAAGAGAGCAUCAUGAGUCAACUGUGCUUAGAUAGGGCUAUUUGCUUUUCCCCAACUAUGCUCCAUACUUUUUUCUUCUCAUAUGUUUUUUUUGAGUCGGGGUCUUGCUCUGCUGCCCAGGUUGGAGUGCAGUGUCAUGAUCAUAGCUCACUGUAACCUCGACCUUCUGAGCUCAAGUGAUCCUCCUGUCUCAGCCUCCCAAGUAGCUGAGACUACAGGUGCAUGCCAACACACCUGGCUAUUUAUUUGUUUUUAUUUUAUUGUAGAGACAGGGUCUCAUUGUGUUGCCCAGGCUGGCCUCAAACUCCUGGCCUUAAGUUAUCCUCCCGUCUUGGCCUCCCAAAGUGCUGGGACUAUGGGCGUGAACCCAUCACACCCAGACAUUUUAUACUUCUUUAAUGUGGAGUGUCUUUCCUUUCCAUGCAUGCCUAUAGAAUUUAUGAUUAUCAUUUAGCCCAAAGAAGACUUUCGCAUAAAUUCUGCCGUAACCCUUGUUGGAAUAAAUGUAUUCCUCUAAGCUCCCUCUAGCUCUAUUUGUAUCUUUAUUAUAAAUAUUAAUAUAUCUUUCCUUGCAUUGCUGUUACAUGUAUACACAUCUUAUCUUCUGGCAAUAAAUAAGUCUCGUCCCUUGGGGGAAGGGCUAACCUUUCUUCCUUCUGGUAUUGCUCAGGAUGCUGACCACAGCACCCUGCACAGAGAAGAGGUUUAAUAUUUAUUUUAUUGCUUAAAUUGCAUAAGAGGGACCUACCUACUUGUGAAAAAAGUUGCUGUGACCUAUGUUCCUUCUUCUGUGACAAGAAACUAAAAUGUACAUAUAUUUAUUCUCUUCUUAAUGUUCUUUCGAGUUUUAUCUCCUUCCUGGAUCUGGUUCACCAGAUUUCCUCCCCUCCUUUUUUUUCAUCAAUACAAAACUUCAAGUCGCAGUCUUGCCAAUAAUUCUUCUUUGACUAACUUAUGAGUUAAAUAAAGAAAAAAUUCCUCACACACAUAUCAUGUCCAAGGUCAGCUCAACAUUGCUUUAUUCCACACCUCUCAAUGGGUGUAUGAUGCGGGCCCACUUUAACGCUGUAUCAGUGGUUGAUUCCUACGUGCAGAUCUUUCUGCUCUUUUUGCCUGAAUUAUCUUCAAUGUUCUUUGUGCAAAAACCACAGCCAGUAUAGUCUAUUUCCAAAAGAGCUGUAAAGAGGCAUUUCAGAAACUUCCCUAAACAAUAUUUCUUUAAAAUGCACCAAGCUGGAUAAAGCCGCUUUGUGACCUGCAUAAAAACUCCAGCGGAUAAAUGUGUAUUACCUUCCCAAAGAACUACUUCUCCAAAGUUAUUCCAGCUCUUUCCAGUUGAAAUGUCAAACUUGACAUAAAAAUGAGAUGUUCUUGCAUCAAUUAAUAAACAAAUAAAUCUGUGUUUCCCAUUGCCCUUUCAUUCAGUGUGUUUUAUGAUUUGGUUGAAGUUACUGGUUACAUGUCUGUUUCCUCCAUUAUAUUUUAUUCCUCAGGAAUAGAAUCUACAUUCUAUUUGCCUUUAUGUCUCCAAAACCCGACACAGAGUGGGUGUUCAAGUAACUUUACUGAUAUCAGUAAUCUGCAUAGGUAAACAAUUCUGAAUAGAGUGAAUCAAACACAAACUUCAAGUCGAUUCAGCAAUUCUUACAGGAUGGCAUUAUCACUUAAAUGAUAUUUCUCAAUUUGUGUUACAAUUUGAUUAAACAAUUUUUACCUUAAAGCUUUGAGAACAGGUUUUCUGACAAUUGUAUAAUUUGAUUUUAAUGCUUAUGUCUGAGGGCAUAUGUCCUGGGGAAAGGAUAAAAGAAAAUAACAGAUUGCUAGGUGACAGUCAGCAACUGUUUGCCUUUAUGAAUUUCUUGAUUUGUAUGGUAGUCAUUUCCCACGCUUCUCCUC